UGCUCUUUCCCCGUCUCUGCCUCUCCAGCUCUGUCUCUCCACCUCUCUGCCGUCCUAUCUGAAGGUGGCAGAGCUGGGGUCCCAGGCACUGCGGGGCCCAGUGUGUGUGGUUGGACCCGAGUGUGCAGGGCGGGCGGGCCCAUGCCUCGUGUGGGGACCCCUGGACGGGCAGGCAGGGGUCUUCAGGGAGGGGUGGGGCAGGAGCAGGAAGCAAGGGCCCCUUCCCCGGAGAGCAGGCGCCGCACCCUCCUGUCCGCCUUAGGCGCUCAGCCGGCAGCUUUAACCUGAGCAGCCCUUUUCACGUCUCCCCGCCCCAGCUUCCUCAUCGGCAAGGUGGGGACAGCAACACCUUCCUCUCAGGCCGGGCGAAGGGGCUUGGGAGCUAGCACAACGGAAGCCACGGGCAGGACCCACGUGCAAAGCAGCGGGGACACGCCUGCCCCGUCCCUCUCUGGGGCUGGACUCCACGGGCACGUAAAUAUUUGCCGAACAAGAACAAAUUCCACAAGUGGCAGAACUGCCUUUAGAAAACAUUCUAUUUGCACAAGGGCUGGCCACACCGGCCCUGCGACCGAGGGGGGACGUUUAUGCCUGAACACAGCCGCGCAGAGCGGCCGACAGGGCUGGGCUCCCGCGCCAGAUGCUGCCUCUUCACUUCACUCGGAUUCAGAAAGUGACGGCGACGGGCCGUCGUCCCUGAGGCCUGCCCGGUGCCAGCGGUUCCGCGUGGCAUCUCACUCUACCCGGAGACAAGCUUGAUCCCGGUGCCACUUCGCCACGGGGGAGCCUGAGGCGGCCGCCCACCCAUUCGCUCAACGCACAUUUGCGGGUGCCCACCAGGUGCCGGGCACUGUGCCGCGCUCUGGGCAACAGGUGCCUAGAGAGGGGGCAGGGUCCCGUGGGAGCAGUCCAAGCCCUACUGCGGGCGCACAAUAGAAACAACACAGUUCCGGAGAGUGACGCCACCGUAGGGAAGAGUGGGGAAGUGCGGCGUGGCGGGUGGGGUCUAGAGAAGGAGGUGUCCAGGCCAGGUGUCCCCACCCCCCAGACGCUAAGGCCUGAGGCCUGACCAAGUCGAGGGCACCUGGGGAAGGGCAGAGUCGCCGGGGUGCCCGCAGUCCAGGGGCCUCAGUGGAGCCCCCCACUACCACUGCCGACAGUAAAGCCAGGUGACCGCCUAACCCCACCGAGUCCACACCCUGCUCGUUUUCUCAGUGCCUGGUUGGAGGUGCAGGAGAGAGGAAGGGAAAGGCCAGAAGCCAGACAGCCAGGCUGGGCAGGGACCCGGCAGGACCAGGUAGGCUGAAAGGGGACCCUGCCCAGUGGGGUCUCAGAGGGUCCCCACAGAAGCCAAAGGGCCUCGACCCCCUGUAAGUGGCCUCUGUCCUUACCACCGGGCCUCUGUCCUUUCCACUCGGCCUCCCUUCCUCCCUCCUCUCCCUCCCCUUCUCUCUGCAGACAGGGGUUCUCUCUCUCGGCCCACUCAGCAACUACUGCAGACACAGCCGGGCUGCCGGGCGCCACUCACAUCUCACGCUGCUGAGAGCCCCUGCCAGCUUCUGCAGGGGGACGAGGGACAAACUGAUGACGAGGUUGGGGGGGCAAAGGCCGAGUGGACGGAGGAGCGGGCAGACGCCCCCCAACACACACACCCAGCCCCUCAAUGUGGGAACGUGGGAGCAGGGCGAGCACUGGCCACGGAGUCAGACGGACCCGGGCUUGCAUGUGGACCCUGACUCUUUCUUCACUUAUGAGUAGAGCAUAAGGACAGACCCCACUGUGACAGAGCCCCUCCUGAACGUCCUGGGAACCCGCAGAGUCCAGCACACACCCGAGUCCCCACAGCGCGUCCAGCCCGGCGUCGGCACCUGCGGCGUGCGCAGUCAGUUAGGGAACGAAGCAAAGUUCAGAGAGGAGGAGCGAGGUCGAGAGCAGCUGGUGCAGAGCUCAGCCGUGGGCCACGUUCCCUGCAAGCCCUCAUUAACUCAGAACAGUCCUGGGGGGCGGAUUCCAUUAUCCCCAUUCUGCUGAUGAGAAAAACAAAUCUGAGAGGUCACACAGGUCUCCCAGGGUCACACAGCUCCUUCGGGGGCCUGGCCUCUCUCUUGGCCCCUGCUCGGCCCAAACGCCGCGCCUUGGAAUCAUGUCUGCCUGCCAGUCCUGAAGGCCCCACUGGGAAGUGGAAGGGAGGGGAACUCACGUCUAUCUCCAUCUGUUCGAUGUUUCUGCUCUGCCCCAACCCCCAGCAGCCCAGCCACUGGCCGGGUGUGGGACCGGAGGGCUUGAGGCCACAGGGAGGGUGGGCGGGUGGCUGGGAGGGAGCCUGCUCCCUGCUCCUCCACUGGCACUGCCAACACCAGAAGCUGGCAGCACGGAGCAGACCAGAAGCCCCUUGGACGUGUGAGGACCAUGGGCGGGAAGGGGGGCAACCCUGAGCUGGGAGCUGAAGAGCCGCCACCCCCUCGCCUGCCCUCCUUCCAGAGGAAACCGAGGUUCCAAAACGUUAAACUGUGAUGCAUCCAAAGCUUACAAUGACCAAGGGACCAAGGCCAGGUGUGUGGAUGUAAUACCCAGAGCUUGUCUGAGCGGUAGCCGGGCGGCUUCUGUUUCUGAGCCCCUCCCUGCUUCUUCCUGCACCCCGGGGCGGCCCCUGGCUGCCGGCUGUCCCGUGUGCAUCCUGCGCUGGGCCUCCUCCUUCCUCAGACGCCCCCCCUCGUCCCCCCGGAACUUUGACCCUGGUCUCCUGCCACCCAGAACAUUCUCCGCCAACCACGUGGCCACUCACACUCCAUGCAGAAGUUUGCGUAAAUGUCCCCUCCUCAGAGAGGACUUCUCUGACCGUCCUUUUGCUUAAAAUCAUAGGCAUGGGCUGGGGGAGAGGGGUCGGGAUAAAUGACACAAGACGGCCACGCCGGAUGAUGGUCACAGGGGGGCUCGUUGCUCUCUCUACCUUUCUAUAUGUUUGUAAUUUCCCAUAAUAAAAGUUUUUAAAAUAAUAUUAAGCCUCAACCCUGUGCCAGGCACAGCUCUGGGACACAGACAGAACUAAGGCUGUCACGGAGCCGCUUGCAAACGGACAGACACGUGACACAGUCAGGUGGCAUUAAAGGCUGUGAAGGGAAAUAAAACAGGCUAAUGGGCAGAAGUGA